CCGGUUGGGCCGAAACGAGACUCGGCCAUGAGUGCGGGCUACGGAAGGUGGCCGGCCGCAGGCUCGUUCYUGCGGCCGGUGUUACAGCCAGUCCGCCACGGGCGCGUUCGCCCAACCGAGGACACCGGGCCCUGUGUGGGCCAGUUCGCAUCCUCCCCAGCAAGGAGCGGGUCGCCCGACAGGUGGUUUGGCGUGGGACCGUUUUCACCAGAGUGUGUGCGGUCCGCGACAUCCUCCGUUGGUGUUUUCGGAGCGACUCCCGCGCGGAUGCAGGACGUCGGCAGCGAGUAGGUCGGUCACCCACCCGACCCGUCUUGAAACACGGACCAAGGAGUCUAACAUGUGCGCGAGUCAUUGGGUCUUGUUCAGGCCCAAAGGCGGAAUGAAAGUGAAGGCCGAUUCCGUCGGCUGCGUUGGGAUCCCGUCUCCUCGGAGGCGGGCGCACCAACGGCCCGUCCCGAUAGCCGCGUCUAUGGGGCGGAGUGAGAGCGUACACGUUGGGACCCGAAAGAUGGUGAACUAUGCCUGGGCAGGACGAAGCCAGAGGAAACUCUGGUGGAGGUCCGCAGCGAUUCUGACGUGCAAAUCGAUCGUCAGACCUGGGUAUA
rnacentral:rRNA from 1 species